AAGUCGUAACAAGGUCUCCGUUGGUGAACCAGCGGAGGGAUCAUUACUGAGUUACCGCUCUAUAACCCUUUGUGAACAUACCUAACUGUUGCUUCGGCGGGCAGGGGGUCCCCUCGGGGACGCCCUCCCGGCCACGCCCUUCACGGGGCGAGGCGCCCGCCGGAGGAUACCAAACUCUAUUUUAACGACGUUUCUUCUGAGUGGCACAAGCAAAUAAUUAAAACUUUUAACAACGGAUCUCUUGGUUCUG
rnacentral:misc_RNA from 1 species